UUGUCCUCGUCCAAAUCGAUUUGAUAAGGCUGAGAGAAACCAGGCGUGAUCAUAUGCUUGAGCUAGAAAUCGAAUUGGAGAUGGGCACUAGCUACUUUAAUCCGACCUGGAGAAGGAGCCUUGAUGUCCGACUCCAUACAAAUAGGGAACUGAUCAUCUUGAUUCUACAGUGUUCAACAGAGACUCGAACUGGGUUCAAAGCUUGGCCGAUCUUGAUUUGCAUGCAAAAGCAAAACUGGGUUGACUUCUCAAUCUGACUCGGUUGCUUCGCUACUGCUCAAUUUCACUUCACCACUGCCUCUGUAUUCAAGGGGCAGAUCGACUUGUUUAGUUGACACAGCUGCAGAGAAGAUCGGAACCAAAGAUUAAGGGUGAGGCUCUUAUUGAUUUGCUUGUUACGGUUGGUGUUUAGCUUGGUAGGAGUUUAGUGUUUGUAUUUCUGGUUUUGAAAGUGGUGGAAGAAGAAAGGCAGAAGCAGGGGAUUGCUGAAUUUGCAGGGAGCGAAGAUGGCAUUUUGUGCAGACUGUUCUUUUUCUUCUUUUUUAGCGUCGGAACUUGCCGUUCAUGAACGACUUUAUGUUCCUGUGCUAGGAAUUGCAGCAGCUAAGUGCGUUGAGACUCCGGCCGUUCAUGAACGACCAUAUAUGUCUCAACGGAGGAGAAAAUCACCAUGAAGUUGGCCGUUCAUGAACGACCAUGUAUUUCUUGAUAACUUAAGAGAGACUCAACAAAAGAAAGAAGGUUGUUCAUGAACAGCCUAUCUUUUGUUGACAGCAAGCAUUCCGGACGAUGUAUUUCUCUCUGGGUACAGCAAGGAUGCGUAGUAUACCUGAGCGUCGUCUUUGGAGCUUGAAUGGUUGCCGGAUCUGCUUUGAUUUUGGCAGAACUUUAGCUUCUUGCUUGAUGAUUUUUUUCUACUCUCUCUCUCCGUGUGUGUCUCUGUGUGUAUUUCUUUCCAUGUUAUUGUCCUUUUAUAAUAGUAUAGCUGCUCCUCAGAUAACUUUGCCUUCCGCAGGACUUGUAACUUUGAAAUUUGAAUGACAAACUUUGAAUUUUGGAUAACAAGCUUAUCUUGUAUUUUGACCAGCAACAAUCCCGAGUUUGCUUCACGUUUGAAGUCUUUUUCAAAGCUAGUAAACUUUGACUGUCAGCA